rnacentral:piRNA from 1 species
UAGAAAGGUGGAGGUGUCUACAUGCUU